UACGUAGGGACCAAGCGUUGUUCGGAUUUACUGGGCGUAAAGGGCGCGUAGGCGGCAAUUCAAGUCAUCUGUGAAAUCUCCGGGCUUAACUCGGAACGGUCAGAUGAUACUGCUUUGCUAGAGUGCGGAAGGGGCAAUCGGAAUUCUCGGUGUAGCGGUGAAAUGCGUAGAUAUCGAGAGGAACACCAGAGGUGAAGACGGGUGGCUGGGCCGACACUGACGCUGACAGCGCGAAAGCCAGGGGAGCAAACGGG
rnacentral:rRNA from 1 species